AUUGAACGCUGGCGGCAUGCUUUACACAUGCAAGUCGAACGGUAACAGGCCUCCGGGUGCUGACGAGUGGCGAACGGGUGAGUAAUGCAUCGGAACGUGCCCAGAGGUGGGGGAUAACGCAGCGAAAGCUGUGCUCAUACCGCAUGUGAUCUGAGGAUGAAAGCGGGGGACCAGGCAGCAAUGUUUGGCCUCGCGCCUUUCGAGCGGCCGAUGUCAGAUUAGGUAGUUGGUGGGGUAAAGGCCUACCAAGCCGACGAUCUGUAGCUGGUCUGAGAGGACGACCAGCCACACUGGAACUGAGACACGGCCCAGACUCCUACGGGAGGCAGCAGUGGGGAAUUUUGGACAAUGGGCGAAAGCCUGAUCCAGCAAUGCCGCGUGCGUGAAGAAGGCCUUCGGAUUGUAAACCGCUUUUGUACGGGACGAAAAGGCUCUGGCUAAUACCUGGGGCUGAUGACGGUACCGUAAGAAUAAGCACCGGCUAACUACGUG
rnacentral:rRNA from 1 species